UGGGAAGUAGCCAAGUGGUAAGGCAACGGACUUUGACUCCGUCAUGCGCAGGUUCGAAUCCUGCCUUCCCAG
rnacentral:tRNA from 1 species